AUGCACACCAUUACAGAGAAGAAAAAUCUACAGGAGAGAAAGAGCCCCUCCACUAACUCCCUUAAAUCUCCAUCAUUUUCAGUUUUGAAGAUAUCUAGACAUGCUCCACGAUCUCCUCUUCGAACCCGCAGAAACUCCUGUCCUCUCCCUUCUCUGUUCUUCCAAAAUACAUCCACGAAGUGCUGCUGCUCCAUGAACGCCGGUGCUUGUUCCUGGCGACUUCAAGCAUCUCCAUCCAUUCCCUUGUACCAGGUACAUACCCUCCUCACCAUGAAUCCAUUCAGAGAAGAAAGACAGCGAUCCGUUGACCACACACGAAGAAUUCCGCAUGUUCGUCUACACUGUUCGUCAAGUUCAUCGCACCGCUGCGUCAAACUCGGGAUUGACGACAGUGUUGGACAUGGACAGAAACAUGUUACCGAAGAAGGACUCAACAAUGAAGAGUUUCAUGAAGACAAAGGUGAUAACUACGCCAAGUAUGGCGAUCUGUAG
rnacentral:rRNA from 1 species